rnacentral:rRNA from 1 species
AUUGAACGCUGGCGGCAGGCCUAACACAUGCAAGUCGAGCGGAUGAAGGGAGCUUGCUCCUGGAUUCAGCGGCGGACGGGUGAGUAAUGCCUAGGAAUCUGCCUGGUAGUGGGGGAUAACGUCCGGAAACGGGCGCUAAUACCGCAUACGUCCUGAGGGAGAAAGUGGGGGAUCUUCGGACCUCACGCUAUCAGAUGAGCCUAGGUCGGAUUAGCUAGUUGGUGGGGUAAAGGCCUACCAGGGCGACGAUCCGUAACUGGUCUGAGAGGAUGAUCAGUCACACUGAAACUGAGACACGGUCCAGACUCCUAGGGGAGGCAGCAGUGGGGAAUAUUGGACAGUGGGCGAAAGCCUGAUCCAGACAUGCCGCGUGUGUGAAGAAGGUCUGCGGAUUGUAAAGCACUUUAAGUGGGGAGGAAGGGCAGUAAGUUAAUACCUUGCUGUUUUAACGUUACCAACAGAAUAAGCACCGGCUAACUUCGU